CAAAAAAAGAACAGGUGUGUGUUUAGUUGUAUGCGACUGUUAUUUAGACUUCACUGAAGCAUUCAUUCUGCAGUGUCAACCUCAGUCCCAUCUUCUCGUUGACUGAAAGGUGUGUGAUGUUUUAGUGGAGAGACAUGAAAGUGUAGAUGGAUAUGAAAAACAAUUUGGUGACAAAUUUUCUCACCAAGCUGCACCACAGAUGAUACACUUAAGUUCAUUUGGUUGAAGAGGGAAAUGGCCCUGACCAAAGAUUUGCAUGAAGGGAACAGAAAACAGCAACAGCAUAAUAAAGGAGUUCCUGUUAGUGUCGGCAGUUGACAGCAGCGUGUUUCCUUCAUCAUGGCUUUUACAGGCAAAUGUGCUGAGAGCCGCGACAACUACGAAGAACUACUGAAGGAAUUAUAGUCACCAAACCCCCAACAAUUAGGACAUUAUAACAGAUAUCUAUCGGAACGACGAUUUCAGGUUGAUAAAACCUUGAACAACAAAUUCUACAUGGGAUGGAAUCAGAACUGGAAACUCUGGGUGGCGAGACAUUUGAGGUGAUCAUACUUGCUUUGAAGAUUUGAUCAGAAUUGAAGAUUCACUUCCCCAAAUACAUUUACACUGCUGAGGUGGUCCACAAGGUGAGUGCAGUUACCAGCAAGAAGACGAACAAAAUGAAGAUCCAACAAUGUAUCGUUCAAUUUCAAACAUUCCUUCUUUUUUUUCAUCAUCACAAUAUCAUAAACAUUCACUUGACUUUUCUUCCUUUAGCC